GACGAACGCUGGCGGCGUGCUUAACACAUGCAAGUCGAACGGAAAGGCCCUGCUUUUGUGGGGUGCUCGAGUGGCGAACGGGUGAGUAACACGUGAGUAACCUGCCCUUGACUUUGGGAUAACUUCAGGAAACUGGGGCUAAUACCGGAUAGGAGCUCCUGCUGCAUGGUGGGGGUUGGAAAGUUUCGGCGGUUGGGGAUAGACUCGCGGCUUAUCAGCUUGUUGGGGGGGUAGUGGCUUACCAAGGCUUUGACGGGUAGCCGGCCUGAGAGGGUGACCGGCCACAUGGGGCCUGAGGUAGGGACCAGACUCCUACGGGACGCAGCAGUGGGGAACAUUGCACAAUGGGGGGAAGCCUGAUGCAGAAGCGUCGCGUGCGGGAUGACGGCCUACGGGUUGUAAACCGCUUUCGCAGGAGACGAAGCGGGCGUGACGGUAAUGGGUAAGAAAGCACCGGCUAACUACGUG
rnacentral:rRNA from 1 species